CUGAGCCACCCAGGCACCCCAAAACCUUAGAAUUUUAGUAGAAAUCUAGUAUUGGAAGCAUUUUAGCAAAAUUAUGUUGUAUUGGCCGUUUGCAUUCCUCAGACUCUAGACUGAUGCAACAUUCUUAAAGCCCAGUGUACGAGUGAAGGCAAGACUUUUUCAGGCUGCCUCGUGCCCUGUGUAUGAUUAUGUGGAACCUGUCUUCUUAACCCUGUCUCCUUUACUUUGUAGUGGAUCUGGUUGGUGGCUACAACAUUGGCACCAUCAGCCACGAGAGCCGCGUGGAUUGGCUAGAACUUAAUGAAACUGGGCACAAGCUUCUCUUCAGGGACCGGAAACUUCGUUUACAUCUAUACGAUAUUGAAAGCUGCUCUAAGACAAUGAUCCUCAACUUCUGCUCCUACGUGCAGUGGGUCCCAGGAAGUGACGUGCUGGUAGCUCAGAACCGAAACAGCUUGUGCGUGUGGUACAACAUUGAGGCACCUGAGAGGGUCACCAUGUCCACUAUUAGGUGGGAGACUAGGAAUCAUGCCUAGUGAUUUCUUCAGGUGAACUCAGCAACGAAUGCAUUAAAAAAUCUGCCCCGGGCUGCCUAGGUGGCACAGCGGUUAAGCGUCUGCCUUCGGCUCAGGGC